CCUACGGGUGGCAGCAGUGGGGAAUAUUGGACAAUGGGCGAAAGCCUGAUCCAGCCAUGCCGCGUGUGUGAAGAAGGCCUUCGGGUUGUAAAGCACUUUCAGUGGGGAAGAAAGCCUUGGGGCUAAUACCCUCGAGGAAGGACAUCACCCACAGAAGAAGCACCGGCUAACUCCGUGCCAGCAGCCGCGGUAAUACGGAGGGUGCAAGCGUUAAUCGGAAUUACUGGGCGUAAAGCGCGCGUAGGCGGUCUGAUAAGCCGGUUGUGAAAGCCCCGGGCUCAACCUGGGAACGGCAUCCGGAACUGUCAGGCUAGAGUGCAGGAGAGGAAGGUAGAAUUCCCGGUGUAGCGGUGAAAUGCGUAGAGAUCGGGAGGAAUACCAGUGGCGAAGGCGGCCUUCUGGACUGACACUGACGCUGAGGUGCGAAAGCGUGGGUAGCAAACAGGAUUAGAUACCCCGGUAGUC
rnacentral:rRNA from 1 species